UGGAUUACGUCUAAUGUGAAUUUACAUGCACUAACGUCAGGCGUGAAAAUUUGAUUAGAGUUGAUUUCAAAGUUGAUGUUUCGACUACUU
ensembl:ncRNA W04G3.16 ncRNA